AGUCUACAUCUUUCACGCAUGCUGGAUGCUGCCUGCCCUCGAACAUCAGACUCCAACUUCUUCAGUUUUGGGACUUGGACUGGCUCUCCUUGCCCCUUGGCUUGUAGACAGCCUAUUGUGAGACCUUGCGAUCAUCCCGCCUUCCCCCAGGUGAAAUAAACAGCCUUGUUGCUCACACAAAGCCUGUUUGGUGGUCUCUUCACAUGGACACGCAUGAAAUUUGGUGCCGUGACUCGGAUCGAGGGACCUCCCUUGGAAGAUCAAUCCCCUGUCCUCCUGCUCUUUGCUCCGUGAAAAAGAUCCACCUAUGACCUCGAGUCCUCAGACCCACCAGCCCAAGGAACAUCUCAUCAAUUUUCAAUCCGGCUGGAGUGCAAUGGUGUGAUAUUGGCUCACUGCAACCUCCAAUUCCUGGGUUCAAU
rnacentral:lncRNA from 1 species